rnacentral:lncRNA from 1 species
AAGAGGUGACACACAAACAAAGAAAUUGCGAGGAAUUAAAGUGCAAUGGGCCUAGAUUCCUUACAAAGGCACUAAUCCAGCAUACUAAUUUCAGCCUAGGUUCCUCAAUCAUUUAAGAACAUAUCUGAAGUACAAAAAGAGGGUAGUUUUGUUACUAAUUGUACAGCGCUGACACAGAUAAAGACAGACUGGUCUAUUUUUCAAAUUGAAGGGGAAAAUAGUAAGAUACUGUUCUGUUCCUAUUAUACAGACUGAAUUAACCAAGGAAGUUGCAUUUCUGAAAUUGAGCUAACAACAAAGCAUGCAUAACCAAGAACUAAACAACAUGAUCUAACAAAAGGUAAUGAUUCUCCAAGCAAAGCAACUUUGGAGAAAAAUGCAAACAUUGGGAACUCUCAAACCAAAGUUUAACAUCAAACCUUCCAUCAUAGACACAUUUUUAGUCGGCAACAGCGAAUGUUUUGAGAAGAAAACCAAAGUUUUAACAUCAUCGCCACUGAUUAUGCCGGAUUUCAAUCAAUUAAGUUGUAACAAAGCAACUACUGAAUCUCAAAAAACGACUGAAUCACAGCUAAAGUUUCCUAUCAAAUUUUUUGUCUGAAUGUUACACAGCAACAGAGUUUAGAUUUGCCCAUGGCGGGGCGACAGAGUUUUCUCAAAACUCUGCAGCCGUCCGCUGCCUCUUCCCCUUCCCGCUGUCAAGCAGGAAGAGGUCAGCGCAGUCGAUGGGGACACGCCUCCCGGGUCCAAGAACCUCCAUGGCGUGGUAGACCUGGUGGCACGAAAUGUUGUGGCCUUCCCUCGGGGGGGAGUCGCCCACCUCCAGGAGGAGCACCCUCUUGGCGGCACCCUGCCGGUGCCGUGGAGACGAUCCCUGGAUGGGGGGCGGAGAAGAGGAUGCCGGCCCCGGCGCAGAGGAUGCCGGCCCGAGAGACGAGGCCUCCAGGGAAGGCGGAGCAGAGGAGGCCGGCGGCUCCAGGGAAGGAGGCGGAGAGGAGACGGCGCUGCUACUUCUUGCACUGCUGAAGACGUCGCAGGAGCGCUGGAGCAGCGGCGGCGAAGACGUCGGCGCUGGAGCAGAGGAGGCGGCCGCGGUCCUUGUUGCGCUGGCGGUCGGUCCUUGUCCCUGGGACCUGGACCUCUUCUUGGUGGCGACGCGCGGAGACGGGUAGACCUUUGAGAGCGCCAGCUCGUCCCCGCCGGCGAGGCGUCCUGCCUGGCCGGGGAGAAGGAGCUCGUGCAUGAUGAACCCGCCGCGGGGUCCACCCUUGUGCUCCGCCUCCUUGGAGAUGAAAGAGAAGGCCUGCUUGGUUCCGAUCAUCUUGUCGGGGGCGGCUUCGACGGGGACGGGGGCGCGCUCCGACUUCCAGAACCCCCCCGGCACGACCCUGCUUCUUCUUGCAUCCGUCGCGGUGAGGGGGCGUACCAGGUUCACGAAGUAGGAGGCACGCUUGCCGUCGGGCGAUGUCGCCGGCGGAUGGCGCCGCAGCAGAUCCUGCGGGUGGUGGCCGUAGACGUCGACUCCGUGGACGAGGUAGGCGGGGAGCAUUCAGGUGGGGAAUCCGUCGACCCGUCAUCGUAGGAGGUCGAACAGCACCACGAGGCCCGCGUCCGUGUGCGGAGGCGGCACCUCGGCCGGCGGCAGGAGCCUCGCCGCCUGGCGCUCCUGGCCCUGGGCAUCGGGCUUGCCGUUGCCGAUUGAGGCCAUCUUCUUCCCUUCUUGAUCGAUCUUUCUUUUUUGAUCGAUCCCUCUGAUGUGAUGUUGGGAGAUUUUUGGAGUUGGGUUUGGGCGGCGGAGAGGGAGGGAGAGGGGUAUUUGAAGGCCCGGAAUUUGGAGGCGGUGCUGCUCUUACUGUGGUUGGUUGCCGUUGCCGUUGCCCCUGUUUCCUUCAGGCCGGGAAUUUGGAGGCGGAGGGAGAAUUGGGGAACAGGGGGAAUAACUGAAGACUCAACUCUAUUUCCUUCAGACUCCACCACUUGUCCAACAUGCAGGUCAGCUUCAACGCGGCGGUGCUCUGUGCCGCGCCAGGCUGUGACCACCACGGUUGCCAAGGAGGGCCAUUUCCAUCUGGUCGCCGUGUCCACCAUUCUGCCGGGAACAGUGACUUCCGUAUGGAUGUAAUUGUCGGAGACUCGCGCGUGGACCGAGCUCGCCUCUCUUCAUCACCACGAUGACAAGUGCCCUUUUAGCUUGGCCGCGCCUUAGCGUCCUUGUGGGCGAUGCACUCUACUUCGACGUUGGUGGGAUCGUGGAGUGCCAACUUGGCGCGCUCCGCUUGUCAGUGUUGAAGAAGCCGGUCGCGGGCAAGGGGUGUCUCAUGGCGGCGCAAGACAGCCGAUCUAACCCUAUGGUCAAUGGAGACUGGGCCGGAGGGGGCCAUGGGGUGCGCAAAACUCAGAGUGGUCGAUCUUAGGACUUUGCUCCUUGACGGUGCCCCCUGGAUCCCAGCACCUAGCGAUGAGAUUAUUGGCGUCUCUCGCCGAGGCCACCCCAGAUCAUUUAUGCUAGAACAUAUGAUGGUACCUACAUACAUGGUCGAUCUCAAGCCAGGCGGAAUGAGGAAGAAAAAAAGCUUACCCCACAGUCAACACGGCGCAGUAGCAGUACAUGUACAUCCCUGUUCCUUCAGGCAUCCAAUGUGACAUUCCCCUCCCAAACUGAACAAAUAGCAACAUACACUUGUCAGCUUAUCACAAAAGGAGAUUGCCAAAGCUAAGAAAAACAGCAUGAUAUCUCGAUACAGAAAAAAAAAUCAUGAAAGCAUGUCAAUAUAAGCACCGCAAUGGUCUACAGUCUGUGAUUGGUGAGCAUACUUGGUCAGAAUAGAAAGCAGCACACUUGGGUCACUAAAUUUAUUUUUCCCAAAAUUACGGAGCCUGCAAAAGCCAAGAAGAAAAGGAAAUUAUCUUUCUGGUAGGAAAUAGCAAAUUCAUGGCGGAAAUUAAAAGUGUUCAGUAUGAGGAUGAAAUGAUCAGAUUCAAAC